UACGGGGGGGGCAAGCGUUGUUCGGAAUUACUGGGCGUAAAGGGCGCGUAGGCGGCUUUUCAAGUCGGGCGUGAAAUCUCCAGGCUUAACCUGGAAGGGUCGUUCGAUACUGUUAAGCUAGAGUGUGGAAGAGGCUACUGGAAUUCCAGGUGUAGCGGUGAAAUGCGUAGAUAUCUGGAGGAACACCGGUGGCGAAGGCGACAUCCUGGACCGGUAUUGACGCUGAGGCGCGAAAGCCAGGGGAGCCAAAGCGGGG
rnacentral:rRNA from 1 species